AAAAGGCUAAAAUUUUGUUAAAUAUUUACAAAGGUGGCCUCACCAACACUUUAACAAUGUGUUUAAGCAUUGGUGAGUCCAUCUUGCUCGCAAACA